GACGAACGCUGGCGGCGUGCUUAACACAUGCAAGUCGAACGAAGAGCCAUGGAGGCUUGCUUCUAGCUAUCUGAGGGGCGAGCGGGUGAGAAACGCGGAAUCAACCUGUCCUUCAGUGGGGGACAACAGGGAGAAACGACUUCUAAUCCCGCAUAAGAUCUAAUCGCGGCAUCGAGGAUAGAAGGAAGGUGUCCUCGACAUGUAUGCUUGCACCCAAGCUGGGUAUUGCGUCUGAUUAGGUAGUUGGAGGGGUAGGGGCCCAACAAGGCGAUGACCAGUAGCCCGACGGGGAGGGUGAAUGGCCCGAUUGGGAGUGAGACACGGCACAGAAUCCUAAGGGGGGGAGCAAGGGGGAAACUUCCGGAAUGGGCGAAAGUCUGACGGAGCAAAGCCGCGGGAGGGAUGACGGGCGUCGGGAUGGAAAGAUCGGUUAAUCGGGAAGAAAGGCCUUCUUGCGAAUAGUGAGAAGGAUUGACGGUACCGGAAUAGAAAGCCACGGCUAACUACGUG
rnacentral:rRNA from 1 species